UGAGGGUCAUGAUUGGCCUCAGGAGGU
rnacentral:misc_RNA from 1 species